rnacentral:lncRNA from 1 species
UUUUUGUAAGACAAAUGAAACUUCUUUUAAACUAAAAAAAAGUUAUAAAAAAUGGUCAAUUGUUGUAAAUAAUACAAGUCAAUCAGUUUUACUGAAAAGAAAGUAAAAUUUUGAUAACAGUUUUACGCGGAAACCCAAAUUUUCAACUGAAGGAUUAACCAUUUACUUAAUCAAUAUACUUCUCAAGUAUUUGGAUAUUUCCGAAAAGCACUUGAGGGUACUUACCGCUGAUCCAGGAGAGAUUUGGUCCAAUUCGUCCAUUAGCUUCAGGCACUUGAGGGUACUUACCGCUGAUCCAAGAGAGAUUUGGUCCAAUUCGUUCAUUAGCUUCCAGAUAUUACUUACCAUUUUUCCACAAGGUACAACUUCGUUGGAGUUCAUUUUUGGUUUUUUUAUAAAUAAACAAAAAAAUAAAAAAUUGUGAAAAUUUUUCAAUAAAUUU